GAUGAACGCUGACAGAAUGCUUAACACAUGCAAGUCUUUGGCGAAGCUGUGCUCGCCCUGCCUAGCCAAGGCGGACGGGUGAGUAACGCGUAAGGAACUUGCCCUGCAGUCAGGGAUAACAGACGGAAACGACUGAUAAGACCUGGUAAAGUCAGGCGGACUCAUGUCCAGCCUGAUGAAAAGAGAUGCUGCAGGAGAGCCUUGCGUCCUAUUAGCUUGUUGGUGGGGUAACGGCCCACCAAGGCGAUGAUAGGUAGCCGGCCUGAGAGGGUGGACGGCCACAAGGGGACUGAGAUACGGCCCUUACUCCUACGGGAGGCAGCAGUGGGGAAUAUUGGACAAUGGGGGCAACCCUGAUCCAGCAAUUCUGUGUGCACGAUGAAGGUUUUCGGAAUGUAAAGUGCUUUCAGCAGGGAAGAAAAAAAUGACGGUACCUGCAGAAGAAGCGACGGCUAAAUACGUG
rnacentral:rRNA from 1 species